GGAAAGAGAGGGAUUCGAACCU
rnacentral:tRNA from 1 species